rnacentral:rRNA from 1 species
GACGUAGGGCGCGAGCGUUGUCCGGAUUUAUUGGGCGUAAAGAGCUCGUAGGCGGCUCGUUGCGUCAAUCGUGAAAACCCGGGGCUCAACCCCGGGCCUGCAUUCGAUACGGGCAGACUAGAGUCCGGUAGGGGAGUCUGGAAUUCCCGGUGUAGUGGUGAAAUGCGUAGAUAUCGGGAGGAACACCAGUGGCGAAGGCGACUUCCUGGCCUGUUCUUGACGCUGAGGCGCGAAAGCUAGGGUAGCAAACGGG